AAAAGGGCCCAAUGAUACCAUCAGGUGGUCUUGGAGAUUUUGCCUCCAACUCAGGUGGGUGCCAAUUCUACUUUGUAACAUUUCCUCCUCUUGUUACCACCCAGAAGGAGAUGGCAGCUGUUGCCUGAUGACCCAGAAAAGUGUCUGAUUAGUAGCUGCAAGUGCACCCACCAAAAACAAUUACUGCACUUGUUCAGUCCAUCUGGGAGGGAGACUGAAGUAGCUCAGAGGGUGAGCAAAAGGAGAGGGAAGCUGCUCUUGGUUUUGCGUGUUCAACCUCUUUAAGUGACAGAACAAACAGUAAGAGUUGUCCAGAAUGAACUUAAGCGAAAGUUUAACAGUUGCUCCAUACAAGGAUAUGGGCUCUUUCCCUACCAUUUGUCUGUCUAGAUAGUACAGCAGCUUAGAUCAAGCGCCAUAGCAGCCAAGGAACAGAACAUGUAAGCUGCCCCUCGCUCACCCUGCCAGUCCUCAUUGCACUCCCCACCCCCCGACCCCCCAAGCAAGGAGAGAGGCUACUCUCUCGUCCUCUCGAUAGCGCACCAGCACUCGCUCUCUGGGGAACGUGGGUUCGGCCCCGGACACUCCACGGCACUGCCACGGCCACUUUGACAAGAGAGGGGAGCGGGUCGGGGGGGGGGUUUGCAAAACACUCGCCUUCAAAAAAAAAAAAAAGGAANAAAACACGCAUAGAACAAAAGGGGGGGGGGGGGGGGAGAGCGACAGGCAAUUCGCCAGGAAGAAUAGGAUAAACACGUUAGUCGCAGAGAGAGGCGUGCCAAAAGGCUUCACAUGGACCCACCUCAGAGACCCGGGACCACGCACGGCGUCAGGCUUUGCCCGGCAGGAACGGCCAGCCAGCUCCUUCUUCAAGAGCUUCAUGUACCUGUUAAUAUGCAUGUGAGCAGCACCCCCAAAAGCCAGAAGAAACAGGGACGGAAACUGCCCCUCAGUGAGACAGAGCUGACAUUAUCCUAAGAUUCAACUCAGCUAGAGAACCUAAGAGGAUGUUACCACUGAAGGCCAUUGAGAGGACCACCAAAACUAACAGAGUUAUGCUGUCCUUCAUCCAUUCCCUGGCAUAAAUUAUCCCCCUAAAACAAGAAUUGAUACCGUAACAUAUGCUGCAUGGACUGCUUGUGGCUCAGCUGCCCUUUUUGGUGAUGCAGCCAUGUCCAGACACACAGUAAGUGCUGAUUGAAUGGAGAGUCAACAUUCCAGGAAUUACCACCCCAGGAGUGCUGAUUCUUCUCUAAAACCUUGAUUUGGCUCAAAAGAGUUUUUGUAAAAACAAAACAAUUCCCCCCUUCACCCAGAUGUGAACUUCUAAUUUGAAAAAAAAGGAACUACAGUGGACCCUCGACUUACAGAUGGCUUGACUUACAGACUUUUCGAGUUACAGACUUCUCUGGCCGCAAAAUUUAGAUUCGACUUGCAGCCGGAGAAUCGACUUACAGACCAGAAAAAAACCAAAAUGGAACAAAAAUAGAAUAAAAACUGCCAGUUAUGGGAUUAAUUGGUUUUC
rnacentral:lncRNA from 1 species